rnacentral:rRNA from 1 species
AACGCUGGCGGCAGGCUUAACACAUGCAAGUCGAACGCACCGCAAGGUGAGUGGCAGACGGGUGAGUAACACGUGGGGAUCUGCCCAAUGGUACGGAAUAGCUCCGGGAAACUGGAAUUAAUACCGUAUGUGCCCGCAAGGGGAAAGAUUUAUCGCCAUUGGAUGAACCCGCGUCGGAUUUCCUAGUUGGUGUGGUAAAGGCGCACCAAGGCGACGAUCCGUAGCUGGUCUGAGAGGAUGAU